GAUGAACGCUGGCGGCGUGCCUAAUACAUGCAAGUCGAGCGAACAGACGAGGAGCUUGCUCCUUCGACGUUAGCGGCGGACGGGUGAGUAACACGUAGGUAACCUACCUAUAAGACUGGGAUAACUUCGGGAAACCGGAGCUAAUACCGGAUAAUAUUUCGAACCGCAUGGUUCGAUAGUGAAAGAUGGCUUUGCUCUCACUUAUAGAUGGACCUGCGCCGUAUUAGCUAGUUGGUAAGGUAACGGCUUACCAAGGCAACGAUACGUAGCCGACCUGAGAGGGUGAUCGGCCACACUGGAACUGAGACACGGUCCAGACUCCUACGGGAGGCAGCAGUAGGGAAUCUUCCGCAAUGGGCGAAAGCCUGACGGAGCAACGCCGCGCGAGUGAUGAAGGUCUUCGGAUCGUAAAACUCUGUUAUUAGGGAAGAACAAACGUGUAAGUAACUGUGCACGUCUUGACGGUACCUAAUCAGAAAGCCACGGCUAACUACGUG
rnacentral:rRNA from 1 species